UACGGGGGGGGGCAAGCGUUGUUCGGAAUUACUGAGCGUAAAGGGCUCGUAGGCGGCCAACUAAGUCAGACGUGAAAUCCCCAGGCUCAACCUGGGAACUGCGUCUGAUACUGGAUGGCUUGAAUCCGGGAGAGGGAUGCAGAAUUCCAGGUGUAGCGGUGAAAUGCGUAGAUAUCUGGAGGAACACCGGUGGCGAAGGCGGCUAUCUGGACCGGUACUGACGCUGAGACGCGAAAGCCAGGGGAGCAAACGGG
rnacentral:rRNA from 1 species